CGAGACGUAACUUGCUGAACACUUGCUGAAAAUCUUGUCUCUCCGCUAAUCUGUAUUAAUUCUGAAGAAUCGUCGCUCAUCUUGUCAAACUCAGCUUCGUUCUGUCGCAGGUUUACAAUCAGGCUCUGUGGGACAAAUAUGAUGCCUACGAGUAAAUCAACAUGCGAACGCCACCAUGUGUCCGAACAAAUGACAUGAGAAAUUUUGUGAACAUCUCUCGUUCGAGUUAUUCCGAGUUCCAUGACAUGACAACAUAGCUGAAAGUAAGAAUCGAAUUCGAAACAAAACUAAUAUUGAUCUCGUUGAUUGAAACUUUCGUGAUUUAUUGUUUUCUUUUUCUGUUUUCCCUUCACCAAAGAAGAUGAAGAAAAGUGACAGUGAGAGAAAGAAAGUGAGAAAAUUCUCCAGGCACAUCUCAAUGUCAGCACGUUCCUUCCUACAAGACGAUACAAGAUUAAAGCCUGAAAGCUCUACGACAAGCUGCUACAAAGUUGGCACGUCAGGUCACGUUUGUAUUACGUAGAUUGUGAAGUAAAUAUGUGAAG